GGCUUAGAGUUUGAUCAUGGCUCAGGACGAACGCUGGCGGCGUGCUUAACACAUGCAAGUCGAACGGAGCACCCUUGACUGAGGUUUCGGCCAAAUGAUAGGAAUGCUUAGUGGCGGACUGGUGAGUAACGCGUGAGGAACCUGCCUUCCAGAGGGGGACAACAGUUGGAAACGACUGCUAAUACCGCAUGAUAUAUUUGAGGGGCAUCCCUUGGAUAUCAAAGAUUAUAUCGCUGGAAGAUGGCCUCGCGUCUGAUUAGCUAGAUGGUGGGGUAACGGCCCACCAUGGCGACGAUCAGUAGCCGGACUGAGAGGUUGACCGGCCACAUUGGGACUGAGAUACGGCCCAGACUCCUACGGGAGGCAGCAGUGGGGAAUAUUGGGCAAUGGACGCAAGUCUGACCCAGCAACGCCGCGUGAAGGAAGAAGGCUUUCGGGUUGUAAACUUCUUUUGUCAGGGAACAGUAGAAGAGGGUACCUGACGAAUAAGCCACGGCUAACUACGUGCCAGCAGCCGCGGUAAUACGUAGGUGGCAAGCGUUGUCCGGAUUUACUGGGUGUAAAGGGCGUGCAGCCGGGCCGGCAAGUCAGAUGUGAAAUCUGGAGGCUUAACCUCCAAACUGCAUUUGAAACUGUUGGUCUUGAGUACCGGAGAGGUUAUCG
rnacentral:rRNA from 1 species